rnacentral:tRNA from 1 species
GGGGGUAUAGCUCAGUUGGUAGAGCAUCGGCCUUUUAAGCCGCUGGUCCUAGGUUCGAAUCCUAGUGCCCCCACCA